rnacentral:rRNA from 1 species
GUGGGGAAUCUUCCGCAAUGGACGAAAGUCUGACGGAGCAAUGCCGCGUGAACGAUGACGGCCUUCGGGUUGUAAAGUUCUGUUAUACGGGACGAAUGGUACGACGGUCAAUACCCGUCGUAAGUGACGGUACCGUAAGAGAAAGCCACGGCUAACUACGUGCCAGCAGCCGCGGUAAUACGUAGGUGGCAAGCGUUGUCCGGUAUUAUUGGUCGUAAAGGGCGCGCAGGCGGCGUCGUAAGUCGGUCUUAAAAGUGCGGGGCUCAACUCCGUGAGGGGACCGAAACUGCGAUGCUAGAGUAUCGGAGAGGAAAGCGGAAUUCCUAGUGUAGCGGUGAAAUGCGUAGAUAUUAGGAGGAACACCAGUGGCGAAAGCGGCUUUCUGGACGACAACUGACGCUGAGGCGCGAAAGCCAGGGGAGCAAACAGGAUUAGAAACCCGGGUAGUCC